GGGACCGCCCUCCCCUCACGGGAAAACGUGGUCUGCACGGAAGGGAAGGGCUCCUCUUCCCCUCACGGGCAAAGGCCACCUUCCCCUCACGGGAAAAGCUCCCCUCCCCUCACGGGCAAAGGUGUUCCAGCAGUACCUGCCAUUCCCAAAGAAGAGAUCUGCUGACAGACAUCCCUGCCUUUCUGUGCUGUGAGCUUCUUGCCACUGCAGAAGAUACUUGGCUACCGAGAUGAAGUCUGUCACACAAAGCCUAAAACAGAAGCACGCCAGAGUACAGCAGUGCUCAGUGUCCUUCCUGCAGCCAGAGGUAUCCCCAAACCCCAGGGAGCAGGGAUCCCUUGUCCAGGAAGCAUGACUGCCUGUGUGGGAGCUGGAGGAACAGCUUGCUGCCUUCAGGUACCAAAGAGAGGGACAGGAAUUCAUUUGCAAGCCUUAUGUAAUAUCCAGCCCUGCCAAGAGGUGCAUGCUGGGGGCUCCCUCUCCCCACACAGCACUCCAGGAUUCAGGAAUGCCUCCGCUUCCUUAUCUUUGCAGAAGGCAAGCACAGACCUCCUACAAGAUCCUCUCCCACCUCUACUGUGCAUCUGUUCAUUUUCUGCCUGUCAAGGCUCUUCAGAAUUUAAAAGAUCUUGCAGGAGAUAGGAGAACAAGAUUUCAAGUUUGAGCGCAUCAGAUCCGAUGUGAAACAUGAAUUUUUAUUGCUUGACUUAUUUUUCUUACUUUUUU